rnacentral:lncRNA from 9 species
AUGAGGCCAAGCCCUCCGCGGGGAGCGUUUCGGCAGCAGAAGCUGGGCCCCCGGAGUAGGCUGCGGCGCGGUCAGGGAGCCCCCCGAAAUCCUCCGCAGUAUUUCCUUCCCCUGAAGAGGAAGCACAUGCAUUUACUACGGAAAAACAGAAGAGAACGAGGAAGAAAGCGGAACAUCACUCAAGGUCAACCCUGCAGGCAAGCAUGGCUGGGCUGUGUCCGUGUCGCCAGCUCUGGUCACUUCCCGUCCUCUGGACCAGUCGUUGUUCUGCUCGGCGCUGCCUUAUGGUUCCAGCAGAGGAAAGGGACGCGUGGUGCAGUGGUCCCCAGGCUCAGGGUCAAUUCCUGGGAGUCCCCUCUCUCCAGCCAGGUGAAACCGGGCUGCCCCCUCGUCACUCUGCUCAGGACCAGCUCUGCAGUGGACCUUGAGGGCAGAAGUCAGAGAAAGACAAACCCUGUGUGAUCUCACGUACUUGUGGGAUCUAAAAACAGAACAGAACAAAAAGCCAAGCUCAGAGAUACAGAGAACAGAGGGUGGUCAGGAGAAGCAGGCCGCUUCCUGCCCUCCUGCUUGGGAGCCACCAAAAGGUCUCUGUCCAAAGGGGGUUGGUCUGGUACUGCUGCCCUGGGCAGUCACUGUGACUGCUGGCCCGGUUAACCCAUGGCCUGGCUUGUCGUCGGCAGCUGGACAUCGCUUGUCCGUAAUCCAGCUUAAUCAGUACCAGUCGAAUGAAUAAGUGGAUUCAACUACAUUCAGGCAACAACUGUGAGCCAGGCAGUGUAUUAACUGCUUUCUAAAUUGGUAGUAAUUGGAAAAGGGGAGUCCCCUGGCGGCCUGGCAGUGAAGGAUCCGGCAUCAUCACUGCUGUGGCUCAGGUUUGAUGCCUGCCCUGAGAUUGCUGCAUGUGGUGGGUGUGGCCCAAAAUUUUUUGAAAAGGGAGAAUGAGAAUAAGCAUUUAUUUCAGUUGUGGACAGUCUCGCUUGUCAGACUCAGCUGGAAUUCGGACCUGACUGCCCGUCUCCAGGGUCCAUCCCUUCAUGACUAGGGAUGAGCCAGUGGGGGAGGGGAGGUGCUUCCGAGCCCGGCUGAGCCUCCCAAGUGACACAACACCCCUGUGGUUGCCUCUCGGGGUGCCCAGACAGAGGCUUCCUGCCCCAGAAGACAUCCUCGGUUGCAGAGUGCACCGCAGUCUUGGGCAAGCAGCCACUGCGCCACCGGCUGCCUCCAGGGCACAGGCUUGCGGGGGCACCAGCCCUGUGCAGGGUGUGGACUGGGCGGCACUCAGCUUUCCUACUGAGACACACAGGCCACACCCACCACGGGUGUCCCCGGACCCAGGGUCCGCUUGCAGCUUGUUAGAAUCAAAACUCAACAGAGACCAGCUCUGCUCUGAAAACUUCCUGAGCAGACAAAACCAGUUUAGCCAUACCAGCAAAGCUUAAUCGAGCUUGUUUCGUCAGACUAACUAGCCCGGGGUCACUGCUUGCUGACGCCCCGGGAAAUCAUAAGCAAAACUUAAACUGUUUCCUGAGUUUGCGAUGAGGUCACCACUGACCAAUUUGCUAACAUUUAAGAGGCAUCUAACGCAGUGACCAGUCACGUGACGGGCGAGCAGCGCGGCUGCUGGUCAGCUGUCCUUCUGGUGUCUGCCCAGUACCCGGUCACUGACGACCGCCUCGGUGCCGCUCUGGUCUUGUCAUCCCCGAGCUUCAUCCCCAGCACAGAGGGCCCGCACCUGUUCCUGCUCAGGCCCCCAGCAGAGUGAGGACGCGGGCAACAGGGUGAAGCAGGACGCACCCCAGGGGACACGCAGCCGCCACAGACCCCGUGUGAUCCCAGGCAGACUCAGGGACAGGCCAGGGACACAUGCAAGGAGAGGACUAGAACUUCUGGGAGGUCACAGGUGAUGCCAGAAACCCCGAGAGCAGCCAGGGGCCACUGGCCAGUUGGUGGCCGGGCCUGCUCUGCCUGCAGCCCGACUUCUUCCC